rnacentral:tRNA from 1 species
ACUCAGUUAGUAUAUUUAACUAUAUUGGUUUUAGGAACCAAAGAAUGGCAGUGUCAACUGAGUG